rnacentral:rRNA from 1 species
UCUUCCCUCUGGCGGCGUGCUUAAUACAUGCAAGUCGAACGGAAAGGUCCUGCUCUUGCGGGGUGCUCGAGUGGCGAACGCGUGUGUAUCACGUGUGUAUCAUGUCACUGUCUUUGGGAUAACUCCAGGAGAAACGGGCUCAUACCGGGUAGGAGAUCUUGCUGCAUGGUGUGGGUUGGUGAGUUUCGGCGGUUGGGGAUCGACUCGCGGCUAACCAGCUGGUUAGGCGAGUAGUGGCUUUCCAAGGCUUUGACGGAUAGCCGGCCUGGGAGGGUGACCGGCGACAUUGGGACUGAGGUACGGACCAGACUCCUACGGGAGGCAGCAGGGGGGAGUAUGGCGGAAUGGGCGGAAGCCAGAUGCAGCAGCGCCGCGUGCGGGAUGACGUCCUACUAGGUGUAAACCACUGUCGCCUGAGAUGAGGCGGGAGUGACGGUAAUUAGUAAGAAAGCACCGGCUAACUACGUG